rnacentral:sRNA from 1 species
UCUGUAAGAAAGCGCCGCACAUGUAUCAGAUGAAUAUUGAUAGAUAUAUAUAUAGAGAGAGAGAGUCUACACUUACGAAUGGCAGCGCCAUGCCAAUGCAGACGAGUAUGCCCCAGCCGCCAUCGGGGGCCACCCAUUGAUAGGAUUUGGACUUAGCUGUCGCUGCUGUCGGUGCUGCUGCAGUCAUCUUAGCUGCUCGGAAGUCGUCCGCUUGACAUCCUGGCCG